rnacentral:rRNA from 1 species
CUACGGGUCGCUCCAGUGAGGAAUAUUGGUCAAUGGACGGAGAUCUGAACCAGCCAAGUCGCGUGAGGGAAGACGGCCCUACGGGUUGUAAACCUCUUUUGUCGGGGAGUAACGUGCGGGACGUGUCCCGUAUUGAGAGUACCCGAAGAAAAAGCACCGGCUAAUUCCGUGCCAGCAGCCGCGGUAAUACGGAAGGUGCGAGCGUUAUCCGGAUUUAUUGGGUUUAAAGGGAGCGCAGGGGGCGUUGCAAGUCAGCGGUCAAAGUUCCGGGCUCAACCCGGUGAUGCCGUUGAAACUGCAGUGCUGGAGUACGUGCGAGGAAGGCGGAAUGCGUGGUGUAGCGGUGAAAUGCAUAGAUAUCACGCAGAACCCCGAUUGCGAAGGCAGCCUUCCAGCACGCCACUGACACUGAGGCUCGAAAGCGUGGGGAUCGAACAGGAUUAGAUACCCUCGUAGUC